CUCUUUUCUCCCAGCCUCAAAAUUUUCUCAUCAUUUUGAGAUGAGUUUGAUGCAGCUGGGUCUCCUGAACUCCGAAACGAGGCGAGGAGAGGAGGGGAGAUGGGAUUAAUUACAGGGAGAUCCAAAAAGCUGUGAAUAAACUGAUAUUCCCAGUAUGAGAAGAGUCACCAGACUUGAUCAGAACCCCUCACUGUACCAACAAGCCAGCUGGAAAAGGUGAACAGCCAAGGUAGAGAAAUUUGCUGCAAAUCCCAUUUUUUUCAGAGUAAUCAGCCAAAAGCUGGAAGCAAGAAGUUGCAGAAGGAUGGCAUGGCACUGGCUGGUUGAUGAGAUGGCAGAUGGGAGUCAGUGGUAAUGAAUGCAAAGCAAUGCACACAAGAGAAAAUAGCACUAACAAAACACACACAGCAGCAACUCUAAAUCAGCUGCUUCCAUUAAGGAAAGAGAUGCUGCAUUCAUUGUGGAUAAUUUUCCAGAAAUGCCUGCUUAGUGAAAGAAGGAAGGAAGUACGAAAGCAAACAGGCUGCUGGGAAGCAUUAAAAUCUUAAAAAAGGAGAAAAUAUCCUCAUAAAUCCAACAUGCACAUGCAUGUUUGAGUGGCCACCUGCACUCCUUGGUAUCUCAUCCUCUCUGAGAAGCAGCAGUGCAAUAAAAAAACUAAAGAAAUCAGAUGUGCUGGGUGAAAAGAGGCAGCUGAAGGGGACCCUGGAAGCAUCAGGCACCCAGAACAGUCCAGAAAAGGUAAAUAGGGAGUCCUUAUUUUUCUCCCUCAUGGUGGUCUCUAAGAAUGUGUAAAAUAAAGCAGUGCUGGGGGGGUUGGGGGAAGCAGCCUAUAAAUGUGUAAUUUAUGUCUCAUUUCCCUAAAGCAUUGACAGCAGUUUUUGGUGGAUGUGAGUGAUUUGUUUUGUGUUACAGAUCUAUGAGGGUGAGGGCUGCUAAUAUGCCAAAAUGGCAUUAGAGGGCAGUGCAUGGCAACCUAACUGGAGGUUUUUUGGGGUUGCUGUGAGAAACCACUCUCUGGAACCUCUGAGGAUCAGGAGAACAGAGGGGCUCCCACUCACACAGUCUAUCCCAAUGAAUUCUCCAGUUACUAAAAGGAAAUCAUUUCUGUGGAAAUGGCUGAAGAAAAACUACAUAAAGUGUGAUACUUCUUUAGUAAUUUCCAGUUUUCCACUGGCACUUGGAAGAAUUUCACUGAAGCAUGUCACACCCAGACAAUUUGGGAACAAGGGAAACCUUUUCCAAACCUGCCAGCCUCACCCUCAUUUG
rnacentral:lncRNA from 1 species